rnacentral:rRNA from 1 species
GACGAACCGUCCAAACGUUAUUCGGAAUUACUGGGCUUAAAGGGUGCGUAGGCGGCCUGACAAGUUGGGUGUGAAAUACCUCGGCUCAACCGAGGAAUGGCGCUCAAAACUGUAAGGCUAGAGGAAGAUAGAGGUGAGCGGAACUUAAGGUGGAGCGGUGAAAUGCGUUGAUAUCUUAAGGAACACCCGUGGCGAAAGCGGCUACACUGGAUGCUUUCUUGACGCUGAUGCACGAAAGCUAGGGGAGCAAACAGG